rnacentral:rRNA from 1 species
GACGAACGCUGGCGGCGUGCCUAAUACAUGCAAGUAGGACGCAGUUGCGAACGGGUGAGUAACGCGUAGGUAACUGCCUAUUAGAGGGGGAUAACUAUUGGAAACGAUAGCUAAUACCGCAUACUAGUAGAUGGACCUGCGUUGUAUUAGCUAGGAGGUAGGGUAAUGGCCUACCUAGGCGACGAGACAUAUCCGAACCGAGGUGGGUAUCGGCCACACCGGGACUGAGACAAGGCCCAGAAGCCUACUGGAGGCAGCAGUUGGGAAUUCUCGGCAAUGGGGGGAACCCUGAACGAGGAACGCCGCGGGAGUGAAGAAGGUUUUCGGAUCGUAAAGCUCUGUUGUUAAGGAAGCGGUACUUAACCAGAAAGGGACGGCUAACUACGUGCCAGCAGCCGCGGUAAUUC